ACAUCCAGGCAGACCUGGAGUGUUUAGUUUCGAUAUCUCAAAGGGUGUGUUGUGUGCUUUUUCUAGCUAAAAGCUUUAUAGUUUUAGACCUCUACCUAGGGGAGUAAAGACAGUGGCUAUGAGGAAAUAUUGCAGGUGGGACUGUUGAGGUGCAGUUUAUAACUGUUUGUAGCUGAGAAGUCCAAACAGAACAAAUGCUUUUGGGCUGGUGAAAAUUUCAUUUAUCGUAAUUUAUGAGACAUACGGUCUACACGGUCAAGUUCCUCCGAAUCCAUAGAGCCACUGCUGAGUUUUGUGACUGCUUCUCUUCUCGGUUCCUGACAAAUGUGAUUUGAGACCUGAAUGUUUCAUGUGCCAUGGGCAACCUUGAGAUGAAGAACUUCAGGCGUCUGAAUUCAGCCAGAACUGUGACUCUUGUCUAGAAGAACUACUCAUGGGCUGAAGCAGUCCAAAUACCCUGGUGGCAGCUGGUGUGAGCCUGUAGGAUCUCCGGUGCUCUCCUUAGUGCUACCAGACUUCAAAGGAGCAGCCUCAGACACCCCUUUGGUCACUCUGGGCAGCAGUAUAGGACCUUCUUCAUAACCCACAAGAGUAGCUAUUUCUAGCUCAUUAAGCACAGAAGAAGCCUUUACACUCAGCUUUUUGACUGCACUGCUUCAAUCCAGCCCUAUCAACCCAGAUUUUUUCAAUCUAGAAACAAAGUGAAAUGAAACAAGGGAAAUGAAACAAAUGCAUAGGAGAAUCGAGCACAAAUUAAGCAUCCCAAAUGGUCUACAUUUUCAGUGGACAGAAGUUUUUUGAUUUGCAACUCAGAAGCUAUUUUGUGUGGCAAUAAAGGCUGCUGAAGAGAAGUACAAAGAGAAGAGAAGUAAGUGACUACGGAGAUAAAAAAGAGCUGUUCAGACAAGUAACAUUCUACCAGGGGAGAUGUGACGGUGGGAAGAUAAAACUGUAAUGUUUCCUACGACAAACUAUUGGACUAUAAGCAGGAAUCACACCAUCGCAUCUGAAUCUGGAUUCUCCUGGCCCACAUUUGGAAAGCAACUGACUGCACUGUAAUGAGCACAAGAUGACGACCAUGCUGUGAGAUGGAGGCCCACUAUAAAGAGGAGCUCUAACCAAAACACAGCAACAGCAGAAGAGAUGCAGGGGGUUUUGUGAAAAAUCUUGCUAUUUACUUAAGGUUCGCACUCCUUUGAUGUCUGCUACAAUUACCGAGAACAUUCAGGCCUCAUAGUUUCAGUUUUAAAAAAAGUGUCCCAUUGAAGCCUACUGAAUUUCUUUUUCUCUACCUGUCUACGCAGAGGGUUGCCUGACAAAUGUUGUUACAUAUUUAAAAUGCAUAUUUCAAAGAUAUUUUGUUAUAGAGAAAAAUGUAUUUUAAAUCUCUCUCUAAAAAAUGGAAGAUGUCCAGAUAAUGAUACUUUUGCUGUCAUUUAUCAUCAUCUAGACAGAAAGACAUUAGAAACCUAGCUUUUAAAGAGAUCAUCCUAAAUUUUAGAAUGGUAUCUAUGAGUAGCUGUACCUAUCGCAAUUGCAGAGGAGAGGCGAAGUAAUGGUGAAAAAUGAAACCUACUUUGAAUUACUUCCUCCCAAAUAUUUUAUCACUUAGCAGUGCAUUAUCUGAUAAAGAUAUGCUUUUAAAGAUUUUAUCUUUCUUUUAAAAAAAAUCUGGUUUUAUGUGUUAUUUGCUGGAUUUCACCUCUCAAAUGCAUUGCAUUUUAAUCUCUUCUAUUGCAUCAAUUGAGUUAAUCUUGCUGCAAUCAACUGACUGAAUCAGUUACAAAACUUCAUCUUCCGCCUUCCUCACCAUCCACAACAGGAACAAAGUUCACUUUAAACAGUGUUUGUUCUCAUUGUUGUAAUAAGGGUAGUCUCCAUCUUACUAUAGGUAGGUCAAAGUCACAAACCUGUGCCAAAGGAAAACUUACACAAAGUGGUAGAUGCAGGGCCAUAUCUGUAUCUUAUACCAUAUGCUGACUGAAGAGCAUUAACAGCAUUAUAGGCUGCUAAUUCCUGUGUGAGAGAGAAAACAAAUACAUAAAUUAGACUUUGAAUUAAAUACUGUAAUGGGAUUGGAACCUACCAGCUAUGGAUCAUCGACUUCUAGCACAAUGCUCUGUUCCAUGAGUCUGUGACAGCUAAUUAAAAUUAUUUUAAA